UCUGUGUUUUUUGGUUUUGGCGUGCUGGUUGGAGAGCUUUGAAUUCUCUGUGGCUCCCUCAUCUGUGUGUGGGGUCGCAGAGGGACAUGUGUCACUGAGGUGGAGUUUUUGUUCUUCUUGGUUACUAGUUCCUACAGCGGUGGUGCCGUUGUGGGUUUUCCUUUGCUUCAUUUUGACUUGCGAACCUCUAGCGGGGUGCGGCAAUUUUCUUCCUCCUGGAUCUCGUGGUGCUUUGGAUCAUUGUGGUCGUCGGCGUUGAUGGUUCCAACGUUACUUAAGGCUGCGGCGCGGUGCACUGUGCAUCAACUCCCAUUCGACGGCAUGGUCUUGCUUUGGGUGGCAUGUGUGGCGGCUGGUCGAAGGCCACAGCGGAGUUGACGCAUUGACUCCUGAUUACCAUUGAGUUUGGCGGCAGAAUUGUUGGAAGUGCGGCGGUGUCGUCAGAAGUCUUCUCCCGUUUUUCUCGUUGUUUUACUGUGGCCCUUGCUCUUUGGCAUUCUUGUUUCUACGGCUACGCGUGUUGUGUGGGUUCAGCAUUUGGUGAAGUCGUCGGCAGAGGAUCUAGAAAUUGGAGUUGCGCUAACAGAAUCCCCUACGGCGUGAUCUUCUCUUAGCAGGGUGCAUUGUGGAUCAGAUGCGGCUUUGAAGAACGACUCCGAGUCGCUGUCCACCUUCUCGAUUGAUUACAAGGCGUUUUCUCCGCCUUCAUCGAGCUCAAUCAUCGUUCUUCCUCUGUUGUUCUACUGCAAGUCAAGCUGGGUUAUUCAGUAGCGCUGGCUAGCGUGAUUACUUCCACUCUCAAUUUUGACCUUUCCCGCCGAUCGUGUUCUAAAGAGCGACGGCUACUGUAGAUGCGGAAUCAAUUGACUCAGAAGGGCUGCGGUGCAAUCAUUUAAUUUAGAAUCUUGAAUAUUUUAGAUUCUUUUUAGAUGCUUAUAAGAUUCUAAAAAGAUGCCAAUUUGAUGUUUCUAAGAUGCCUUAUAUUUGGAAAGUUAUACUAACUACAAUUAAUCUACUAAUUCUAUUUUA